rnacentral:misc_RNA from 1 species
CAACCCUCAAGCAUUGCUUGGUAUUGGAUGCCACCCGCUUGUGGUGCAUCUCAAAAGUAUUGGUGGUGGCAUUCAGCUUCUAGCGUAGUAAAUCUUCUCGCCUUGGAGUUUGAGUGUUCGACUGCCAGAACCCCUAAAUUUAUCAAAA